CAGUAGCCGCGGGAAUACGGAGGUGGCAAGCGUUGUCCGGAAUUAUUGGGCGUAAAGGGCUCGCAGGCGGUUUCUUAAGUCUGAUGUGAAAGCCCCCGGCUCAACCGGGGAGGGUCAUUGGAAACUGGGAAGCUUGAGUGCAGAAGAGGAGAGUGGAACUCCACGUGUAGCGGUGAGAUGCGUAGAGAUGUGGAGGAACACCAGUGGCGAAGGCGACUCUCUGGUCUGUAACUGACACUGAGGAGCGAAAGCGUGGGGAGCGAACAGGAUUAGAUACCCCCGUAGUCCCUGUCUCUUAUAC
rnacentral:rRNA from 1 species